UACGAAGGGUGCAAGCGUUACUCGGAAUUACUGGGCGUAAAGCGUGCGUAGGCGGUUUGUUAAGUCUGAUGUGAAAGCCCUGGGCUCAACCUGGGAAUGGCAUUGGAUACUGGCAACCUAGAAUGUGGUAGAGGGUGGCGGAAUUCCCGGUGUAGCAGUGAAAUGCGUAGAUAUCGGGAGGAAUACCAGUGGCGAAGGCGGCUGCCUGGCCUGUUCUUGACGCUGAGGCGCGAAAGCUGGGGGAGCAAACGGG
rnacentral:rRNA from 1 species